rnacentral:misc_RNA from 1 species
UCAGAAUUUAGUCAACUUAGCAAUUGGCAAUGUAAAUAAUAGUAACUCGGGUGAAGAACUUGAUUACAAAAACCACGAAAAUAAACAAACCAAACUUUCUUCUCCGUUAUCAUUUGAAGUUGAUGAGAUAUUUAAGAAUUAUAGCAAUCUCAAUUUGUUGCAAGACAUAUUUGAUGACGACGAAGAGUUAAAUCAAAGCCAAGAGCUAAUUCAAAAAACAAUCGAGCCCGAUCUUCAAGAUAUAUGUAGCGAACAUACUCCUAUGCCGUCACCAAAUGGCAGUAUCAAUCUUUUUGGUGAUGAAGAUCCAAUCCCAUCAGUUGUAUCUUUGCUAACGGAUGGCAAUGUGUCCUCUCCGAUUUCACAAUACUCAUCCGGAGAGGUU